UGUCUGUGUCUGUGUCUGUGUGUGCAGCUGAUGGACCUGAAACUGACGGUGGAUGGUUUGGAGAAAGAGAGAGACUUUUACUUCGGUAAACUGCGUGACAUCGAGCUGAUCUGUCAGGAGAACGAGUGCGACAGCAGCCCUGUGCUCGGGAAGAUCCUGGAGGUGCUCUACGCCACAGAGGAUGGUUUCGCUCCUCCGGAGGACGAGGACAUUGAUGAACAGCCACAGGACCAGGAUGAAUACUGAUCCUCCCUCUCUCUCUCUCUCUCUCUCUCGUCAUGUCAUCCUUCUUUCUUUCUCUCCCUCUCUUUCACUCCAUCCCCCACCAGCAGACACUAGGGGCGUGGUCUAAUAGAGUGAGUAGGGGCGUGCCUAUGCUAAUGAGGUCUGAAUUGAUGCGGUGAAGCUGAUGUUUUAUUGGCUGUGGGUAUAAUGACGAAUCCUGACGACUCGAUGAUGAUGAGGCAGUGACACUUUCACACACACACACACACACACACACACACACUGAUGUAGAGACACACACAGCCAAGGUUAUCAACUAACAUUUGUUUUUUGAUUUGGCUCUAAUCAGCUAAUUUAUUAGAGCUUGACGAGAAUGUAAGUCAUUUGUUUUAUUUGCGUUGUGUUUAGAGGGUUUUACUGUAGUUGCAGUGAAUGAAGUGGUACUAAGAUCGAAUCCCAGACAAAGCGCAGGUUAAAUCAGCAUCAAAUCAACAUGAGGCCUGUUCACUUUCUUAUUCUGUGUGUCUGGUCUUCAUAUAUUCUCCAUCAGACCAGAAACACGUGUCAGGACACUAAACCGAGCCUUCGAGCUGAUUAUAAUCAGUACUGAUAGUGCAGGGGUGAGAGUUUUAUUUAUUUAGGACGGAAAUGAAUGAAUACAAAAUGCUAACUUUGAAUGAAAAAUGCUAUAAAUUCAUAAGAUGAAAAGAGACUCGGCCGUUACUAACGUUUAACUGACUGAUGAUAUGAAACAGAGUUUUCUAGCUGCUAUAUUUUAAUUUAACAUUUCAGUCUCAAGUCUUUUUUAUUUGAUUGACGGGUCGGUUUUGAUUGACAGGCCAGUGUCAUUAACCCUUUCACACCUCAUCAAACAUGCAUCCAUGUGGAGUUUUACCAUGUAAAAUAAACAGUGUGUGAGGAAUGAA